UUGUUAUAGUUUUCAAAUAUUUUAUUUACUUCUGAUUUCUCUUUUAUGAGGAAUACCCAAGUCACUCAUGUAUGGUCAUCAACAAAGACGACAAACUACCUAGAAUCGGUAAUGUGUUGAUUUUGGAGACUCCCCAAAUAUUAAUGUGUAUCAAGGAAAAUAUAUAGAUGAUUUGUAAGGUUGAAUGUAAUAGGAAUUCUGAGUGUGUUUGGACAAUUAACAUAUUUUGC
rnacentral:lncRNA from 1 species